GAAUUUGAGGUUGGUAGGACAACCGAUUUCUCAAGUAACAGCAUGAAUCUGUCUUCACAUGAGCUGUAGUUAAGCUGACAGAUACAUGGAGAAGAUUAUCCUUCCCCUAAAGUUAGGAACAAAGCGAAAAGAUGCCCUCUUCGAUAUUGAGAAAUUGUGUAGAUCAUAUUCUGGUACAGCUUCUGAUCCAAGGGUGGCUGUUAAGGACUUUUUGCAUGAGGAGCCUUAUACUGCAGAGGGAAUUGAAAGAAUCACACGAGAAAGUCUCUCCUCGGUCUUUGCGAGCUCACAAAUUCAAUGUUUCAACUUUCAAGUUUAAGUUGUUUCAGGUACUUAGUUUUUCCGAUAACUGUGCUUUAGCAUCAACAACACUGAUGUUCCGAAGAAGUCUCCACUUUUCAGUAUGUGAUACUGUAUUGUGGUAGAAAUUAGAUACUAUAAAAAUGGGAUGCAGAAAUAUAUGAAUGAUCCUCAAGGUGGUCAUAAGCCUUGUGUUCAGGCAUUUGUUGCUGACCAGUUUGACGAGAAUGAUCCUCAAGGGCGCAUAUCUGAGAGUUUAUGAAUCACAAGUUAAACCCAAAUAUACUUUAUUGAACAAAACUAAAUUUGUAUCAGGUAACCUCUACUUUUAUGUUUCAUGUCGUAUAUGGAGAAAUAUAUCAAUGAUCCUCAAGGUGGUCCUAAGCCUUAUGUUCAGGCAUAUGGUGAUGACCAGUUCGAUCAGAAUGAUCCUCAAGAGUGCAUAUCUAAGAGUUUACAAAUCACAAGUUAAACUCAAAUAUGCUUUGUUGAGCAAAACUAAAUGUGUAUCAGGUAACCUCUACUUUUAUGUUCCUGUCGUAUGGGAUGCAGAAAUAUAUGAAUGAUCCUCAAGGUGGUCAUAAGCCUUUGUGUUCAGGCAUUUAGGGCUGCACACUUUGAUCAGAAUGAUCCUCAAGAGCGCAUAUCUAAGAGUUUACAAAUCACAAGUUAAACCCAAGUUUAGUUUAUUAAACAAAACUAAAUUUGUAUCAGGUAACCUCUACUUUUAUGUUUCAUGUCGUAUUAGAUGUUGUUCAUUAUGAUUUUUUUUAAAUAUUAGUAUGUUUGUGUUUUACUUUUACUGACAUAUUUAUACAUACAUAUUAGAUGUGGCAGGUCAGUUACUUAUCCCUAGUACUGCAUAUAAAAUAUUAAAAUUUUUGUUAUAUUAUUUGCAUAUAAUAAAAUAUUUUUAUUAUUACCAAACCAGUACAUGUCAGGUGCAUGAACUAAGAAUAUAGUCUAGUUCCAUUAUCUGUUUAGUAUCAUUGGCCAUUUCAUGAGUUUAACUGUAAUAUAACUCGAACUCUUGAACGGAUAGAAUUCAGAAACUAAAAAUUGCUCUAAUUGACGAACCGAAAAAUUAGUUUUAUUAAAAUCAAUGCGACAGUUUUGCUCCUGUAUAGGAUCCCAUCCAUGAUUCAUCUCAAAGUUUCAUAAACCCCAAUUCAAGUGGUUGAGGCUGUGUUAAAAGUAUCAACAAAGGAAAGAGUUCAAUGUGCAAGCUAGCUGGCUAAUCAAAGAGCCUUUUAUCCAGGCACCAACUCCAAGUUCCUUGUAAUGCAAGUUUUGAUUGUUAGCAUUGGAUAUUGUUUAUGUGAUUAAAUGUGCUUAUUGGCAUGAUAAUAUAACUGACAAGACCUUUUUUGCUCGCAGGACAUAAUUAGGUCUUAUCAGCGUUGGAAUUUUGGAGUAGAGACAUUGAGAAGAAGCUAAUCUAGAUACGGAUUCUCAUAGUAUUAUCCGUUUUUCAAUCAUUUUGAGAUUCUAUUGUAUCUUGACUAGGAAUGCUCCUCGCAGAAACAUGCAGUCUUUCAGGGAGUACUGCAAAUCUAAAGCGAGCAUUUUCCAGUAGCGGCGUGCUCUUUCGACUCUUUUGAAGAGAAAGCACCCAAUAAUAAAGACUCAUUAUAUUGGCAGCAUUUGAUGUAAGCGCAGGUAAAUCUCCACAAUCCUACUGCUUUUGAUAUAGUAUAUUGAUCUAGUUAUUUAAUUUGGAAAUAUUCUCUUAAAUAAACUUUCUCGUAUUACAUUACAUCGUGUGCAAAUAUCACUGAACUUUUAACUCUGACAUUGCAUUUGUUUCUAAUUCUACGCGUAACUUUUAAGUGCCUAAUGCUCAAGAUAUGCUAGGUUAAAGAUCAUAUUCAGAAGGAAAAAUGUUUGCAGGGAGGUGAAAGAAUGAUCGUCAUUGUAAGAAUGUUGUUUAAUAUCUAGAAUUUUAAUGAAUUUGGGUUUCUUUUUGAAUAUAUAAUUUUAACAGGGCAGUUGGGAUUAUCUAUGAACUAAAAUCCAGUAUGAUCUAAUGUAUGAUUUUGAAGCCUAAAAUAAGUACUUCAUGUGGCACAAAUGUAGGUGCUAUAUUAAGAUUGGCUGUAUAUUUCUAUGUGGAUAACAGAUCAUAAGUUUGUCCAUAAGAACUCGGUUCUGAGGAGAAGGGCAAGAUCAAAGUCUACGAUGAUGAAGGAAGCAAUUGUUUAGUGAUAGGCUCAAAAUCAUAUUAUUGUGUAAUGAUCUUGCUCUGGUGUACAAAAGGGUAACCAUGCUUCAUGCACAAUAUGAAACCCAAAAACUGAAAGGUGAAUUCGGUCCGGAUAUAGCUCAGAUAUAUUUACCAUAUUUAUAUCCGCUUACCCAUCAUGAAUACGGAUAUGGAUACGAAUAUGGAGAUACCUCAGGUCAGGUCCGCUAAAAUCGGAUACGGAUACGGAUAUACGUGUAGAUAUAUAAGCAUAUAUGCAUGCAGAUACAAAAUGAAUAUGAGAAAACUAGAUAAU